ACUCGUCUGGGCGAGUAUAAAUAGUAAUUAGGCCCAGAGCGUCCUGGCGCGAUCGCACGAUCGACCGGUGGUUUAG
rnacentral:ribozyme from 1 species